rnacentral:rRNA from 1 species
AAGUGACGGUACCUGAGGAAUAAGCCACGGCUAACUACGUGCCAGCAGCCGCGGUAAUACGUAGGUGGCAAGCGUUAUCCGGAUUUACUGGGUGUAAAGGGCGUGUAGGCGGGAAAGCAAGUCAGAUGUGAAAACCACGGGCUCAACCUGUGGCCUGCAUUUGAAACUGUUUUUCUUGAGUACUGGAGAGGCAGACGGAAUUCCUAGUGUAGCGGUGAAAUGCGUAGAUAUUAGGAGGAACACCAGUGGCGAAGGCGGUCUGCUGGACAGCAACUGACGCUGAGGCGCGAAAGCGUGGGGAGCAAACAGGAUUAGAUACCCUGGUAGUCCACGCUGUAAACGAUGGAUACUAGGUGUGGGGGGACUGACCCCCUCC